UGUGCUAACGGUGGUGCCGGUGGGGGCGGACUCUUGAAGCACUUAACUUUCUGACCGGUGUUCAGUGUGACACAGAUAUGUUAGCCUUGCUGCUCGUCCUCGCUGCUUUUACCCGUUUGUCUGCAGAUGUCCAGCCUGUUUUAGGAAACUCCUUCACGUUUCCACAAAACUGCACGAACGACGAAGAAGGAAAACUGCUCCGGGCUGAGCCCCAUGGGGAGGUGGACGUGGCCGUCCGUCCACCAGCGCGGUGUGUGGACACCCGCCCGGGGCUACCGAGGCCGGAUCUUUCGAAACUCGUCCAUUUUGUUCAGGCGCAUAUUUUACAAUGACAGUGGCUUUUAUUUAUUAAGAUGCGACAGCCGGGAGAUGCGCAUCCAGGUUACAGUUCUGGUUCCCUUCAAUGUCACCGUGAAAGAGGGAGAAAAAGCGUCGCUGCCGUGUUACUUUUCAACUGCCGACAACAAGUGUGUCUCUGCACGGUGGGAGAUGAAUCAGCAAGUUGUGUUUGAGUGGAAUUCCUGCAAAGACGAAGAUAACGGGACUGCUGAUGGAAGACUCUCUGGAGACUUUUCCUUAAAUCUGCCACAUGCGAGGAAGGAACAUCGUGGGUAUUAUUUCUGCUAUAAACAAAAUGAAGACUGAGAGAAAGAGAGGGAUCCAUCUGUCGUGAGGCUGAAAGUCAAGAUGAGAUGCCCUGAUAACACCCAGAAGUGCCGACAAAGAAAACGGGACAAACGACAAGAAACCUGAGUAGCUGUCAGCAGAGGAGGAACUUUGGUGCCAGCCUGGAGAAGUUCACUUUCCAGUCAGUCCUGUGGAGGACAUUUGGAUUCUCGGCCUUAUGUGCUGGAUCAGGGGCGAUUAGGAUCAGAGCUUUGGGGGUGCUGAGCACCAGGAGAGCUGCCCAGCCAGACAAGACAAACUUCACUUGUCACAAUGAGACUUCUUCCCCAUCUCUGUCAGUCCCUGCAUCCUUAAAUGUCUCCAGUUGUCCUAAGUUCUCUAGAACUGUCACUUUGAUGCAUUUAAACCCCUGUUCCUCUCUGUUAUCAGUCAUCAGUGGCGUGCACAGACAUUUUGGGGGGCAAGUGCUCCAGGGGGGAAAAAGGGCACUUUUUGCAUAUGUGGAAAACCUUUUCUUUUUAUAAUAAAAAAAUCGCACAGGU